rnacentral:tRNA from 1 species
GCCAACGUAGCUCAGCUGGCAGAGCAACUGAUUCGUAAUCAGUAGGUCGGCGGUUCAAAUCCGCCCGUUGGCUCCA